AUGCCAGAUAUGAAGGAACCCGGAAAAAUCAACCUUCCUGUUUACGAGGAUGGAAGCCAACUAGACCUGCCUUCUAUUGAUCGGAACCCCAGCAUCUACGAGAAGCUGAUCCAGUUCUGUGCCAUUGACGAGCUUGGCACCAACUAUCCAAAGGAUAUGUUUGAUCCCCAUGGCUGGUCUGAGGACUCAUACUAUGAGGCAUUAGCCAAGGCCCAGAAGAUCGAGAUGGACAAAUUGGAAAAGGCCAAAAAGGAGUGAACAAAAAUUGAAUUUGUGACAGGCACCAAGAAAGGCACCACAACCAAUGCCACGGCCACCACCACUACCACCGCCAGCACAGCUGUUGCAGAUGCUCAAAAGAGAAAGAGCAAGUGGGACUCAGCUAUCCCAGUGACAACGAUAGCCCAGCCCACCAUCCUCACCACCACGGCCACCCUGCCAGCUGUUGUCACAGUCACCACCAGCGCCAGCGGCUCCAAGACCACUGUCAUCUCUGCUGUGGGCACUAUUGUGAAGAAGGCCAAACAGUGACCUGAGGGGCUACCCUAGGACUUGAAAGGACCAUGCAGCCCAGUGACCACUGCCCAAUGGGAGGUGCCACUUUGUAUAUUUCAGGACUGGGAACUGCUCCCCAGAUGCCACCUGAGAGGAACUUCUUUGUGGCAUUCCAU